UGACGAGGCAGCUUUACCUGCCCAGGCAACACAUAGAACUGUCCCGCAGUUGCCUUUUCCUAUUCAGAAGUUACAGAAAAAGACAAUCACCACAUGCUUUAAAUACAAGAAAGUUGGCUCGAAGUUUUUACACUGGGUUGCAUGUGAUGCCUGUCGAAAAUGGUACCACCGAAAAUGCACCACCUUAUCCUGCAAGGACUAUCUAAAGUUAACGGAGGAUUCUGUGUGGAAUUGUGACAUUUGCAUUGUGUAGGAUAACUGUAGUGUUUACAUGUAUUAAAGCUGAAAUGAAUUAAUAAAUAUAGUAUAAUUC